AUUGAACGCUGGCGGCAUGCUUUACACAUGCAAGUCGAACGGCAGCGCGGGCUUCGGCCUGGCGGCGAGUGGCGAACGGGUGAGUAAUACAUCGGAACGUGCCCAGUAGUGGGGGAUAGCUCGGCGAAAGCCGGAUUAAUACCGCAUACGACCUGAGGGUGAAAGCGGGGGAUCUUCGGACCUCGCGCUAUUGGAGCGGCCGAUGGCAGAUUAGCUAGUUGGUGGGGUAAAGGCCUACCAAGGCGACGAUCUGUAGCUGGUCUGAGAGGACGACCAGCCACACUGGGACUGAGACACGGCCCAGACUCCUACGGGAGGCAGCAGUGGGGAAUUUUGGACAAAGGGCGAAAGCCUAAUCCAGCAAUGCCGCGUGUGUGAUGAAGGCCUUCGGGUUGUAAAGCACUUUUGGCGGGAACGAAAAGGACUGUGCCAAUACCACGGUUCGAUGACGGUACCCGCAGAAUAAGCACCGGCUAACUACGUG
rnacentral:rRNA from 1 species